GUACGUUGCCCACCAUUUUUUUGGAGCUAAGAGACCUAAUUUCUUUAUGUGUAUGAAGAAGUUUUGAUACUCAACUGAUUAUGACACAAAUAUUGGCUAUUUGGAAUGUCCCUAUAUUGGGAAUUAUAAUUCUUAUGGACUUAGUUGAAUGCUUUGGUCAAUAUGAAAUACAAGUCUUUUUCUCCUUGGAUUUACUCGAGACUAAGUUUUUACUGGUCAAAAUGGCUCACUGGGUAAACAACCCACCUGCAACACAGGAGACAGGAGAUGCAGGUUUGAUCUCUGGGUUGGGAAGAUCCCCUGGAGGGAGAAAUGGCAGCCCACUCCAGUAUUCUUGCAUGGGAAAUGCCACGGACAGAGGAGCCUGGCGGACUAUAGUGCAUGGGGUCAGGUCACAAAGAGCUGGACGUGGCUCAGCACGCAGCACGUGACUAAAACACAAAGGCAGCGUGACGCCGAGCUCUGCAAGCCUAGUGUAGUAAGUAGGGUGAGCGGAUCUCACCCUGCUCGCUUUGAGGGUUCAGAAAAGACCUAUAGUGCAUUCAGUUAAUACAUGUUAGCUACAGGUUUGAGAUCAGGGAAGUCAAAGAGAAAUGAUUUUAUACGUGGAAUUGAGAACGCAUGGUGGAGUUUGGGAUUAUGUUAUUACCGUAUAACAAUUUGAGCCACAUCAGUGUUUUACUGUUGACAGACUCAAGCUCAUUAGGGAAAGAUAGGGGAAAUCAGACUUAUGGAAAUUAGGUUACUUGACCCAGGAAGAGGGUACCCUAGAGAUCUAAUGGAAACAGGUCUAGAAAGCUGAACUAUUAAGAGAAAACACUUCGGAAUGCUUUUUCAUGUUUUGUUCUUUUAUUCCAUUACCCCUCCCUUUGUCUCAGUAUUAUUCCUUUCUUCUAGGUUCCUUCUGCCCUUGUUUGCUGAACAUUUUAUUUUCACUGCUGUUUUCUAGAUCCUACCUAGAAGAGGAAUGAGGACCUUCACAGCAGCAGAACAGCACGAUUGUCAGAGGUAUGUUCAUUAGCAAUACUAUCUAUCAGGAUGACACUGCAAAUUUCCCCACCAAAAUGUUAGGUUAAUACAUACACUGCAUUAACUUUUAGAAAUAUCCCCCAAAUGUUCAAGGUUAAAGACAGAGGUGGUAAUAAAACUGGAUUAUACUGCUCUGAGGCAAGCUUUUUUUCUUAAUGGGGUUCAUGCAUUGGCUUGGAAGGCAGAAACCAGAGAGGAGUCCCAAAAGAGUUUUUUAAAAAGUUGAUCUGGAUAUAUGUUGUGGAAUGGUUUUUAAAAACAAAUUUCAUCAUGCGAAGACUUGUUUCCUCUUUGGAUCUCACAUAUCAUCUCCAAGAGACCUCUGACAACCCUAUCCUCCAAUCCCUCCCUUCCCACUAUCUUUAACCUUUUAAAAUUGUAUUCACUGCCCUAAUCUUAACAUUGUUACUUAUUUCUUGUCUACGGUCACACCCUAUAAACUCUGUAAGAGUCUUGCUCUGUGU
ensembl:lncRNA